GAUGAAGAACGCAGCGAAAUGCGAUAAGUAAUGUGAAUUGCAGAAUUCAGUGAAUCAUCGAAUCUUUGAACGCACAUUGCGCCCGCCAGUAUUCUGGCGGGCAUGCCUGUUCGAGCGUCAUUACAACCCUCAGGCCCCCGGGGCUGGCGUUGGGGAUCGGCGGAGCCCCCCGUGGGCACACGCCGUCCCCCAAAUGCAGUGGCGGUCCCGCCGCAGCUUCCAUCGCGUAGUAGCUAACACCUCGCGACUGGAGAGCGGCGCGGCCACGCCGUAAAACACCCAACUCUGCUGAAGUUGACCUCGAAUCAGGUAGGAAUACCCGCUGAACUUAAGCAUAUCAAUAAGCGGAGGA
rnacentral:misc_RNA from 1 species